UUAUUUUAUAAAAUAUUCUUUUUAUAUCUCAUAGCAACCUUAACUUCGCUUUUAAUUGCCAGUGCUUGUAAAUUAACGGUCAUUCGUUAUUGCCUGAUGAGUGUG